GACGAACGCUGGCGGCGUGCUUAACACAUGCAAGUCGAACGGAAAGGCCCGGCUUUUGUGGGGUGCUCGAGUGGCGAACGGGUGAGUAACACGUGAGUAACCUGCCCUUGACUUUGGGAUAACUUCAGGAAACUGGGGCUAAUACCGGAUAGGAGCUCCUGCUGCAUGGUGGGGGUUGGAAAGUUUCGGCGGUUGGGGAUGGACUCGCGGCUUAUCAGCUUGUUGGUGGGGUAGUGGCUUACCAAGGCUUUGACGGGUAGCCGGCCUGAGAGGGUGACCGGCCACCUUGGGACUGAGAUACGGACCAGUCUCCUACGGGAGGCAGCAGUGGGGAAUCUUGCACAAUGGGCGGAAGCCUGAUACAGCAACGCCGCGUGCGUGAUGCCGGCCUUCGAGUUGUAAACCGCUUUCGAAUGUAACGAAGCGUGCGUGACGGUAAUGGGUAAGGAAGCACCGGCUAACUACGUG
rnacentral:rRNA from 1 species